rnacentral:rRNA from 1 species
GACGAACCGUGCGAACGUUGUUCGGAAUCACUGGGCUUAAAGGGCGCGUAGGCGGCUUGUCAAGUCAGGGGUGAAAUCCUGCAGCUUAACUGUAGAAGUGCCUUUGAUACUGACGAGCUCGAGGGAGGUAGGGGUCGCUGGAACUUCUGGUGGAGCGGUGAAAUGCGUUGAUAUCAGAAGGAACGCCGGUGGCGAAAGCGAGCGACUGGAUCUCUACUGACGCUGAGGCGCGAAAGCUAGGGGAGCAAACGGG